rnacentral:lncRNA from 1 species
GUGGUCUAGUGGUUACAAAGGCCUUAGUAGCACUUGAGGUCCUCAGUUCAACUUCUAGUUGAAGCGAAUUUUUCAGGAUUCUAAUGGCUUCGUGCUUUCAGUGGUAGGCGACGUAUCCGUCCUCAGCGAGACGCCUAUGGUGACAUCAUCAAUCUCUCCAGGAUGUGUCGGCCAGACUUCGGAGGUGCUCAUAGGGGUAGGGUUUACGUGCGUGCGUUCUCCAGGAAGGGUGUGCGUGCGUUGUGAGCGUCUGCGUUGUACUGUGUUCUCUCAAAAAAAUAUGUUUACAGCCACCUUAUACUUAUAGUCUGUUGUACCUGCUCUAACUCAC